CCAUGCCCAUGACGUAUAACUACGUGUACUCUUGAGCCUAUUACCUAAUAGAGACGCAAGAAAAUGGCCCAUCUGUUUGCAGUGGGCAAAUGUGCUUCAUCUUGAAUUCGCAUUCACAAACGCAGCAACCCGGGGGCCUUUUCACAGCACCUUAAGCAGACUGAAGUGGAGCUGGCGCAUAAUCAGCGACGGAACAGCUGUUAUCCAGAGAUAACAGAGGCUGCAGAUGUGCAUGGGGUCAAGGGAGACAAUGCCGUGAGUGGAAAAGUCAUACAAUGGAGUUCUGUGUAUUUUCUUCAGAUGUGGAGAACAAAAAAGCAGUGACCUUUUGUCUGUUGCUGUCACUCCCUGCCUCACCAUUAAGAUCCCAGGACUGCUGAUUAUUCCUUCUCCUUGGUAGACCAAGCUCACCCACAAAAAACGUGAGAGGCUUCUAAACUUCAGCCAAAUAGACAUCCCAGGCUCUUUGCUUCCAGGAACGGAGAAUCUGUUCCACAAUUUUCCCAGGCACAGAGGGGUAACAUUGAGGCAUGGAGUCCGCUUCCUUGCCCUAGACAGCCUGCUGGGUGGAUGUUCCACCAUAUCCUCACUUACCUGUCCCUUAUCAAGAAUUACUCUGUUUUCUAAAAGCAAAAAAAUAACACCCACAUACACAUAAAAAAAU
ensembl:lncRNA